GGAGGCCAGGCAUUAUCUCUGAGGAGGUGUUGCAGGGGGGGGGGGGCAGGCAUUACCUCUGAAGAGCCGUUUGUGUUUUAAAGUGGAUUUUAACCCUCAAGGCAUGAUGGCCGCCGUGGGCUACAUAUGUAACUCCACCACAGCCCUGUUGGAGUACUUGUAAAAUAAAAGUCUUUGUGAUUAAUUAGUAGAGUUUUAACUCCUGUAACAGAUUCAGUAAUAUAUGAAGAACGCCCCAGAGGGCAGUCUUUGCACUUUGUAACGGUGAGGCAGGAAGAGAGGUGCACACUUCCAGACCAUCUCCAGACUCACUGCAUAAAGAGGGGCCCCGCGCUGGUCUUAAUCCUGAACUUUAACCCUUAACCCCUAAACCGCUCACUUCCUGCUGUCUGGCUGGGCCUUCUCCGCUCACUCUGACUCUGUUAAAGGUGUGUGUGUGUGUUCCUGUAGCAUAAUACGUGUGGGUGGGUGUGUAUGAUCUCUGAUCUGUAGCAUCAGUGGUUUAUAUGGCUCUGUUGCUGUUGGAAGAUAGCAACCUGUCUCUAGUGCUCUCUUGGACUGCCGGGGUUAUGCCGAUGGGAAUCAGAGAGGAAUAAGUCCAGGAGAGGGGUGUGAGUGUGUGUGUGUGUGUGUGUCUAGCAGAGAUCUCAGGCCCAUAUAAUGUCCCACCUGCAUGAGGCCUGCCGAAGCUCGUCAUAUCACCUUCGUUUGUUUUUAUUUUGUCUCCCUCCGAUAACGUCAUUUCUGUUGCCUUAUUCUGAACACCAUUGAAUCCAGAAAUCUGUAUUUAUAAAUAAAGCGUCGUCCCAAACCCGAAAAAGGAUCCACGGGCCGCCAGUAAACGCACUGGACAGAGGCAGAACUCGCUGACGACCCCUAGCUGACCUUUAGAGACCAAAAGAGACUUUAAAGCUGACCUGUAGAGACCAAAAGGGGCCGACCAAACCAACACUACAGUCACGAACGGUUCAAACGCAUUCAAGUCGAACUGAUGCAGAGCCAGGGGCGGGCAGGAGGCUGACAUAUAUGCAUCUCGAUUCUGAAUAUUUCUAUUCAAUUUGUAUCAUGUUGUAAUAAUAGAUGUAUUUUAAGUCACGUUGAAGAUUGAAAUAUGUGAUUCUCCAAGGAAGGAUAGAAAAUUAGUUUUUUUUAUUUUAAUCCUGUUGAUUUUUUUUCUCCAUGUAUUGGUGAUCACUUAUGUGAUUCACAACAUCAAAGCAAAUAUAUUAACCAUGAAAAUCUGUUAACUUUGGAAUGUCUUCUGUAAUUGACAUUGGUUUGUAUUAAUAUUGUUAAUAAAGACAGUGCUGUAAAUGCUGGUUA
ensembl:lncRNA